UACGUAGGUGGCAAGCGUUGUCCGGAUUUAUUGGGUUUAAAGGGUGCGUAGGCGGCGCGGUAAGUCGGGUGUGAAAUUUCGAGGCUUAACUUCGAAACUGCAUUCGAUACUGCCGUGCUUGAGGACUGGAGAGGAGACUGGAAUUUACGGUGUAGCGGUGAAAUGCGUAGAUAUCGUAAGGAAGACCAGUGGCGAAGGCGGGUCUCUGGACAGUUCCUGACGCUGAGGCACGAAGGCCAGGGGAGCAAACGGG
rnacentral:rRNA from 1 species